GUGGGGAAUCUUGCGCAAUGGGCGAAAGCCUGACGCAGCCAUGCCGCGUGGAUGAUGAAGGUCUUAGGAUUGUAAAAUCCUUUCACCGGUGAAGAUAAUGACUGUAGCCGGAGAAGAAGCCCCGGCUAACUUCGUGCCAGCAGCCGCGGUAAUACGAAGGGGGCUAGCGUUGCUCGGAUUUACUGGGCGUAAAGGGCGCGUAGGCGGACAUUUAAGUCAGGGGUGAAAUCCCGGGGCUCAACCUCGGAACUGCCUUUGAUACUGGGUGUCUUGAGUAUGAGAGAGGGGUGUGGAACUCCGAGUGUAGAGGUGAAAUUCGUAGAUAUUCGGAAGAACACCAGUGGCGAAGGCGACACACUGGCUCAUUACUGACGCUGAGGCGCGAAAGCGUGGGGAGCAAACAGGAUUAGAUACCCGUGUAGUCC
rnacentral:rRNA from 1 species